rnacentral:tRNA from 1 species
GUGGGCAUUGAGCGGCACACGCUGAUACCGUCGGGAACCGCCUCGAAAGCGGGUAGGCCCGCAAGGGUCUCGUGGGUUCAAAUCCCACUCCCUCCG